AGGGGUUAAAUAAGUUAUUUAUACGUUUUGAUCUGUUUUUCCAAUUUGCUAGCACGAUGGUUAGAUUUGAUAUGGUAUAUGAAUUGUUUUGGGAUUAGAGUUACACGUUUGCACAUCAUGCAUUGUAUUUGGUAUGGGAUCAGAGUGCAUGUCUGCACAUCAUACAUUGUAUUUUGUAUGGGGUUAGAGUGCGUGACUGCAUAAUAUUAUCCAUUUAUUAAUUGGGAUCGGAGUACACACCUG
rnacentral:lncRNA from 1 species